UUAUAAUCCUAAAACCCAUCCUUAAUCCCUCCGAACAACAAGAUCAACAUAAACCAAACUGAAUUGUAAUAAAUCUUCACCGUAAACAACACGACCUUUUUCCGUUUUCUUAUGAGACGGAAACGAUUCUUCCCACCCAAACAACAGAAAAUCGGAGCUCAUAAUGGACUUUUCCUCUCCUCCCUGCCGCUCGCCGCUCUCACUCUCCCGCACCCGCAACCGCAACCGUAGAUGGCGUCAGAGUCGGACUGGCACCGCCGUCGUUGUGGUGGCUGCACUCGUGAUUUCCACCACAGCCUGGCUGUCUCUUGUAUUUUCUGGCACUACUGCUCGGUGUUGGCAUAGGUUUAAGAAUUGGGAAGGCAGUCCUCAUACUCUCACAUGGAAGCCACGAAGUCAGAAGCCAAAUCAAAACGGGAAAGUUGACGGAAUUUCGAGUUUCUCCACCGCCCCGUCUCUUCAAUUGGGCAGAAACAGGAGCCUGUCCGAGGCGGAGAGACGGAAGGUUGAAGCAGGAUUGACGUUGAAUCAUAUAGUUUUCGGCAUUGCAGGAUCCUCUCAGUUAUGGAAGAGAAGGAGAGAGUUUAUAAGGCUUUGGUGGAGAAAGAAUUCAAUGAGGGGUCAUGUUUGGUUAGAGGAGAAAGUGGAUGAUAAAGAAUGGGAUGAAUCAUUGCCUGUGAUUAUGAUUUCGGAGGAUACUUCUCGGUUUCGGUACACGAACCCGACCGGACAUCCUUCUGGGCUUCGGAUUGGACGCAUUGUGUUGGAGACUUUUCGACUAGGUUUGUCUGAUGUAAGGUGGUUUGUUUUAGGCGAUGAUGAUACUAUUUUUAAUGUGGAUAAUUUGGUUAAUGUGUUAAGUAAGUACGAUUAUAAUGAAAUGGUUUAUGUUGGUGGCUCUUCGGAGAGUCACUCUGCGAAUACUUAUUUUAGUCAUAAUAUGGCUUAUGGAGGUGGGGGGAUUGCUAUAAGUUAUCCUCUCGCCGAGGCGCUUUAUAGUGUUCUUGAUGAUUGUCUUGAGAGAUAUCAUAAGUUAUAUGGAAGUGAUGAUAGGCUCCACGCUUGUAUUUCGGAGCUCGGUGUUCCAUUGUCAAGAGAGCUUGGGUUUCACCAGUGGGAUAUUAGGGGUAGUGCUCAUGGUCUGCUAUCUGCGCAUCCGGUUGCACCCUUUGUAUCGAUUCAUCAUGUUGAAGCUGUGGAUCCUUUUUACCCUGGGUUGAGUUCACUGGAUAAUUUGAAACUAUUCACAAAGGCCAUGAAGGUUGACCCUAUGAGUUUCUUGCAGCGAUCGAUCUGUUAUGACCGUGCACGCCGCCUAUCCUUUUCCGUCUCGCUUGGUUACACUAUUCAAGUGUUCCCGGGCAUUGUUCCUCCCCGGGUGCUUGAACGCUCAGAAAUGACUUACUCUGCUUGGAACAAGAUUCAUAGUCGGAAUGAGUUUGAUUUGGAUACCAGGGAUCCUUCCAAAUCUGUUUGUAAGAGGCCGGUCCUCUUCUUCUUAGAAGACGUGGAAAGACAAGGCAACACUACUUUGGGUACAUAUGUGCAGGCAAGAAUGAAAGAUGAUUUGAAAAGAAGUUUUUUCUGCUUUACUCGUUCUGCUCCUUUGCCUUACGUGGAGAGUAUUCAGGUGUUGGGGUAUCCUCUGAAGAAGAACUGGCAUUUGUCACCACGUCGCCUGUGUUGCAAACUGAAUCAAGCAAGUGAUGAACUCCUUACAAUAUCAGUUGGACAGUGUGAGAAAGGAUCUUGUGGUUCUUUUGCUGAUUCUGUGUGAAAUAUGGGUUGAAUGGGAGCACUUGGUAUACUCGCUAGUAAUGCUGUGGAUAUAUUUUUUGCUUGAAGAAGGCCCUUCUCCAACUUGUGCUUUAUGUUGUUCAGCAUCAUUGCUUCCUUCUUGCAACAGCAGUUUACUGACUGUAAUCUGGCAUUUUGAAAGCCAUGCUAACAAAUUGCAGAUAUGAUAGUUCCUUUUUGUACACAGUUGAGUUUAAGAUGAGAUUGCAAACUUUCACUUCGUGGACUGCAUUCUUUGCCUUCCUUUUUCUUCAGAAGUAACAAAACUAGCAUUAACACACAUACAUGCGCAUGAGACAUCCAUGCACAUAUUAAAGGAAUGAAAGAAACAAACUGAGGAAAGAAGGACAAAACCAACCGUGCUAUCAGAAGCUAGAUAGCAUGGAAGAAGCUAAAGUGUGGGAGGUCUGCCAACCAGAUUUCGGGUCAUUGACACAUAUUCUAGCUAGAGAUGCAUUCCGUGGGAACAAUAUGCCCAACAAAUAGGAAAGUAUAUGCCCAGAAAGACUGGAGAAAGUGUUAAAAUUACAAGGGAGCCUUAGAAAAAGAAAAAAUGUGUCAAAAGGCAUGUUGUAGUGUCAGAUAAGGCUUCGGGGAGUCAUGCCAGCAAUUCAAUGCUGUUGAAUUGAGUUGUGUUUAAGUUUGUAUUUUAAUAAAAUGUCUCUCUUCGCCCUCCGGUGCAGUUUUUUUCUCCUGUUGUAGACCUACAACGACUUGGAGUUCAUUGGUUUGUUAUCAACUCUUGUUAUGCUCACAAGAGCUAGAUCAUUCAAUUAGUUCACCAUGUCUGUUUGAUAGCAACUUCUCUAUUAUGGCUCGAGUAUAUAUUGGCAAGGACCUUGUUAGUCCAAUUACGACCUUAUGAAGUUCGUUAUUCUAAAUUCUCACACUCCAAAUUUGUAUUGUGCUUUCUUUCGUACCCUUGGAACUUGGAAGGUUAGGGGUGCAGAUUUUGUGAGUGUGAUAGAAGAACAUUUUGGUGAUUUGUCACCAGCAUUUUGUGAUUUUUGCUGGUGAUCAUGUCCUGUACUGUUCUUAAAGCCUUCUUUGUCUGGUGAUGACCGUGUCUCAUUCUCUUAGUCAUGAAUCUUUGUUCUUUAAUAAUCGAUGAGUUGCUAGUUAAAAUGUACUUUUUUAAGGAAAUAUGUUUUGACUAGCAUUAAUGAGUCUCUCCAACCUAUCUUCAUUGUAACGAAUGGGAUAAAUGGGCAUCUAUUAGAUUUGAUUGUUUGAGCAAGAAUCUAGGAGGGCAUCAAAACAGACACAGUUCAAUGGGUCCAUGCAAAAAUGAACAGCCAAUGUCUUGUUUUGAUUCGUUCUUUAUGUGACCUGUCACUCUUAAUUAAACUAGCAUCUUAAUGGAGCCUUUUUUCUCUUCCCAUUGAGGGUGUCGAUGUGGUUUUCUUACUUCUUUAAUAAAUUCUCUAGAUGGUUUAACUUUACUAAUCUCUCAGUGAAGGGCUGUUUGUAUACACCGCUGGUAGUUGAUUUGAUCAUUUGCCUUUACCAGUCAUAUUCUUCUUGAGAGGAAUAGGCAACUAAGGCGAGAUUCUUUGUGUAGCUGUGUUUCAAGAGGCCUUUACAGUCAUAUUCUUUCUUUUCUGAACUAGAAUUUCCAUCUUUUCUUCCACGCAGCCCAGCAUAAUGGUUUUCGCAUGAGAGUUGUCGUAAUUUUGGUUCAUUGGUUAACUCGCAGCUUAAUUUUUUCUUUCUUCCUUGCAGUUCACUCCAUGUUAAUAUACCUGUCUUGAGACGGGAAUUGCACAUAAAUCAUAGCAUGUUGUCAGACAUCUGCAAUGAUUUUUAAUAGCUUUACAUUUUAGUGCUUUAAUCUUUGUGCAUCGACUGAUAUGGUCUACUUACUAUGGUAUUACUUCAAGAUUGCAUGUGGUCUAGCAAAUCAGAGGUGGAAUUUGUAGCUGAGAACCUCUCAAAAAGUGGGAGGUCAGCUGCAUUUGAAGUUGGAAGUUGAGAAUGAACUAGUGGAUACACUGUACAUCCAUUGCAUUAGUGAGUAAAGCCAAGGGUUCAUAGUGACUUUUGAAGGGCCAGAUGCAGUUUGAUGUCACGGUAAAGCAUUAAGUGCCAGAAGUGCAACUUGUUCAUUCUGGUGGGUGCAAGUCAUUUUAGUUCUAGUGGGAACUGCGGCCUAAAUAAAGUGGACAAUUAAGGAUGCUUUAGGAGUCGUUAAUAAAUCACUUCAAUUGACAGUGACCUCUUCUGAACUUCAUGGGAUUUGGCUUAGGACACACAUUUAUCCUAUUUUUUUCAUUUUCAUCCUAUAAUUUCCACACCUCUGCAAAUUCAUAAGCAUGUUUUCCAUUUGUUCUCUUUUCCCCUUUCUAAUCAUGUGUUUUGAGUUAAUUAAGGUUGAUUUCUUCUUGUUUUUUGU